UCACACUCUAAUCCUGGGCUUCUCAAAUUUUGAAGACAGGCCUGUCUAUAUGCAGCUGUUUUUGGAGGGGGGAAAGUAAAUGUACUUUGAUUUUAGAAAGCACAAGAAGAAAAAAAUCAGGAGUUUGAAGGAAAGUGGGUUUUUUGUUUUGUUUUGUUUUUUUCCUCACUGCAAUCUCUGCCUCCCAGGUUCAAGCAAUUCUCCUGCCUCAAGCCUCCUGAGUAGCUGGAAUUACAGGCGUGCACCACCACACCUAGCUAAUUUUUUGUAUUUUUAGUAGAGAGAGAGUUUCACCAUGUUAGUCAGGCUGGUCUCAAACUCCUGACCUCAGGUGAUCCACCCCCCUCGGCCUCCCAAGGUGCCAGGAUUAUAGGCGUGAGCUACCACGCCUGGCCGGAAAGCGGUUUUUAGAAAUAGAGUGAUCUGCCUGCUCCCCGCAGUUGAGAAUGCUGCACUGCAAGUGCUACCUGGUGAGGCCCACCUCCAGCCCACUACUUCUGGG